rnacentral:rRNA from 1 species
AGCGAACGCUGGCGGCAGGCCUAACACAUGCAAGUCGAACGAACCUUUCGGGGUUAGUGGCGGACGGGUGAGUAACACGUGGGAACGUGCCUUUAGGUUCGGAAUAACUCAGGGAAACUUGUGCUAAUACCGAAUGUGCCCUUCGGGGGAAAGAUUUAUCGCCUUUAGAGCGGCCCGCGUCUGAUUAGCUAGUUGGUUGAGGUAAUGGCUCACCAAGGCGACGAUCAGUAGCUGGUCUGAGAGGAUGAUCAACCACAUUGGGACUGAGACACGGCCCAAACUCCUACGGGAGGCAGCAGUGGGGAAUCUUGCGCAAUGGGCGCAAGCCUGACGCAGCCAUGCCGCGUGAAUGAUGAAGGUCUUAGGAUUGUAAAUUUCUUUCACCGGGGACGAUAAUGACGGUACCCGGAGAAGAAGCCCCGGCUAACUUCGUG